GACGAACGCUGGCGGCGUGCUUAACACAUGCAAGUCGAACGGAAAGGCCCCCAUCUUGGUGGGGGUGCUCGAGUGGCGAACGGGUGAGUAACACGUGGGUGAUCUGCCCUGUACUUCGGGAUAAGCUUGGGAAACUGGGUCUAAUACCGGAUAGGACCAUGGUUUAGUGUCUCAUGGUGGAAAGAUUAUUGUUUUGGUGCAGGAUGAGCUCGCGGCCUAUCAGCUUGUUGGUGGGGUAAUGGCCUACCAAGGCGUCGACGGGUAGCCGGCCUGAGAGGGUGGACGGCCACAUUGGGACUGAGAUACGGCCCAGACUCCUACGGGAGGCAGCAGUGGGGAAUAUUGCACAAUGGGCGCAAGCCUGAUGCAGCGACGCCGCGUGGGGGAUGACGGCCUUCGGGUUGUAAACUCCUUUCGUUAGGGACGAAACCGCACUUUUUUUGGGUGUGGUGACGGUACCUUUGUUAAGAAGCACCGGCUAACUACGUG
rnacentral:rRNA from 1 species